rnacentral:rRNA from 1 species
GAUGAACGCUGGCGGCGUGCCUAAUACAUGCAAGUCGAGCGAACAGACGAGGAGCUUGCUCCUCUGACGUUAGCGGCGGACGGGUGAGUAACACGUGGAUAACCUACCUAUAAGACUGGGAUAACUUCGGGAAACCGGAGCUAAUACCGGAUAAUAUAUUCAACCGUAUGGUUCAAUUGUGAUAGACGGUUUUUCUGUCACUUAUAGAUGGAUCCGCGCUGCAUUAGCUAGUUGGUAAGGUAACGGCUUACCAAGGCAACGAUGCGUAGCCGACCGGGCUGGAUUGUCGGCCGCACGAGACAUGAGUCACGGUCGAGAAUCCUGCUGGAGGCGGCGGUGGUGAUACUGCCGCUGAUGGCGAAAGUCUGUCGGAGCAAUGCCGCGUGCGUGAUGAGGGUCUUCCGGUCGUGAAACUCUGUUAGUAGGGAAAAAAAGAUUUGUAUGUAACUGUGCGCGUCUUGACGGUACCUUAUCAGAAAACGGCGGCUAACUACGUG